AAAGGAAUAGACGGGGGCCCGCACAAGCAGCGGAGCAUGUUGUUUAAUUCGAGGCAACGCGAAGAACCUUACCAGGGCUUGACAUCCCUGUAAAGCCGGUGAAAGCCGGUGUCCCUACGGGGGACAGGAGACAGGUGGUGCAUGGUUGUCGUCAGCUCGUGUCGUGAGAUGUUGGGUUAAGUCCCGCAACGAGCGCAACCCCUAUUUUCAGUUACUAACGCGUAGAGGCGAGGACUCUGGAGAGACUGCCGGGGACAACUCGGAGGAAGGUGGGGACGACGUCAAAUCAUCAUGCCCCUUAUGUCCUGGGCUACAAACGUGCUACAAUGGCCGCAACAAAGAGGCACGAAGGCGCAAGUCUGAGGGAAUCUCAAAAAAGCGGUCUCAGUUCGGAUCGUGGGCUGCAACCCGCCCGCGUGAAGUCGGAGUUGCUAGUAAUCGCGAAUCAGCAUGUCGCGGUGAAUACGUUCCCGGGCCUUGUACACACCGCCCGU
rnacentral:rRNA from 1 species